AGCAGAAGGGCCCUCGGGAGCCCCCAGACCUACAGGCAGGGUGGCAGAGGAGAGCGCCCAGACUGCAGGAGCAGCGCCCUUCCACAGGCAGCCUGGAACAAGAAUUGGUCUCACCAACUACCCUGGAGUUAGGUGACAGAACUACUUUCCUGAGGAAGAGCUGGCAGGCUGUGGGACUCCGGGCAUGCCUGAACAUUUCUCAAGGAAGAGACCAGUGGGACUAGUGAGCUCUGGAGAGAUGAGCUACAAGUCAUUUCCAGUUAAAUAUGGGAUUCACAUCCUGUACACAGACUGAUGCAGGAGCAGGAAUGAAAAUUUACGAGGAACUCGUGUUCAAAAGAUCAUCUACCUUCAAAACAUAUACCAGCAUUUAACUUUGUUAGUGAUCAACCACAAACAACUGCAUGCAUGCACAUACAUCUUGGUAUAACAUAACAUACACAAUCACAACUUUGUUUUCCUUCAGUGAAAUGCAAGCAUUUAAACAUUGUUACAAAUACAACCCUUUGAUGCAAACAAACACUUACCCUUUUCUUGAAGCUGGACCAAAAAAAGCUUUUUGUGUUCUUUUGGCUUUGUAAUAUGAGCUGGGAUAUAUGGGUACUAGAAGAAAAAUGGUAAAAAACAGUUGUACAGAGCUUUGAAAAUAUUUUGUAACCUUAAGUGCUACUUUAUAAAUUAUCAAGUCUUUCAUGUGUCAUAUAUUGUUCUUUCAUGGCAUCAAAUAAAGAAAACCAUUUUCAUAAUAAAGUACUUAAAGAAAUGCUGUUGCUGUCACAGCUAUUGACAGGCUUUGAAGUGGCACCAAUAUCACAAGCAGUUAAAACAACCCAAUAAAACAGAAAUGUAUAUAAACAAACUAAGAAAGGAUUUUCAAUAUUAAAGCCCUUAGAAACAGGGUAGUGAGACUGGGGCAUCUGUUCCAUAAGCAGCAGUGCAAGAGUCUCCAUUGUGGCUGCAAAAGAAAUUUAAAUGGUACAUAUGUCUCAGCAUAGAACUGGAAGCUACUACAUCCAGUGGUUUCUCAUCCAUCAGGACAGGUGUGAGAAGGGAGACAGGAGUUUCCAUUUUAGAAAAAGGCUGUAGUUCCCCUUCAGUCAUAGAAAGGAGAUGAAAUAAACAAAACCCAGAAAAACUAAUUGCUCAUGCAGCAGGUACUCAAGAAGCCAAUCUGGAAGGUUGAAGGUUUUUAGAAGUACAGACAGAAAAAAGGAGAUGGAAGCCCACAGGAGUACUUACCUGUGGAGGUUCAAAGUUUGGUCUCCACCAGUUGCCAAUGCAGUCAUCAAUCACCCAGUCUUGCUGAACACCAUCCUGACGACCCAGUAUCUAUCAAAAAUCCAGUACUAAUCAGACCUCAAAGUACCUCAAGGAAAUUGUUUUAGUCAACACAUACUGGAAGCACAAAGACUUGCUGUAAUAUGUGUCUGAUGUAGUUCAUAACUGCUCUGAGACAGCUUUCAAUAGAAUUGUAGAGUAGUUUUGUAUUAAGUGAGAUUUUUUAGUAAAAGCCUCACCUGGUAGGACAAGGGCACUCUAAAAAGCUUUUCAAAAUCUAUGCUGUACUCAGCUGGACUGAGUCCUAUCAGACCAAUGGGAAGAAUGAAAUACAUUGUUACAUUAUCUAGCAGAACUAAUUUAGCUACUUGGAGAAAAUGGUGCAUUGGCAGGACUAUCUCAAAGGCAAGUCCCCAUCAGUUGUCCUCCACAACAUAUUUUAUUGCUCAUCUCUACACUCACUUGCCUGAAGCCAGUCAGAAAGCAAAGCUGCAAAUGAACACAGGACUUGAGCAGCAGGUAGGAGUCAGCCACACUCAUGAUGCAGAUAAAUGAAAACUUGACUGCUUUAUUUGUUAACUACCUGAGAACAUCACAAAAGCAACAAAAUAACAACAGUGGUAAGAAAACUACUCUAAUGCUUUAGCUUAUUCUGGUAAUUCUAAAAUAAUGCAACAUUCUGCUACAACAACACAAUGAAAGCAAACAGACCUCUGUCAUUAAGCGUUUGAGCCCUUCUACCUCAUCUUCUCCUGGAUUGAGUUCACCACCA